rnacentral:rRNA from 1 species
ACGAACGCUGGCGGCGUGCUUAACACAUGCAAGUCGAACGAUGAUGCCCAGCUUGCUGGGUUGAUUAGUGGCGAACGGGUGAGUAACACGUGAGUAACCUGCCCCUGACUUCGGGAUAACGCUGGGAAACUGGUGCUAAUACCGGAUAUGACGCAUCCUCGCAUGGGGGUGUGUGGAAAGACUGUGUCGGUUGGGGAUGGGCUCGCGGCCUAUCAGCUUGUUGGUGGGGUGAUGGCCUACCAAGGCGUCGACGGGUAGCCGGCCUGAGAGGGUGACCGGCCACACUGGGACUGAGAUACGGCCCAGACUCCUACGGGAGGCAGCAGUGGGGAAUAUUGCACAAUGGGCGCAAGCCUGAUGCAGCGACGCCGCGUGAGGGAUGACGGCCUUCGGGUUGUAAACCUCUUUCAGUAGGGGAGAAGCCCUUCGGGGUGACGGUACCUGCAGAAGAAGCGCCGGCUAACUACGU